AAAUUUGAAAAUGCAAGAAGGUGAGAUUUUUUGAGAGUGAAUGAAGUAAGGUUUUUCUGUUGGUUUUUGUUGGUUGCAUUUGCUGCUACUGGUUUUCUAAAUGACAUGAAAAUGGUGGAAUGGAUGUUGUGUCAAUGCAGGGCCAGGCUAGGUUCAUUGGUGUUUUUGGACAGAAAUUUGAAAAUGGCCAAAAGUGAAGUGUUUUGU
rnacentral:lncRNA from 1 species